CUUAGCGGCGGACGGGUGAGUAACGCGUGGGUAACCUGCCUUACACUGGGGGAUAACAGUUAGAAAUGACUGCUAAUACCGCAUGAGCGCACAGGGCCGCAUGGUCUGGUGUGAAAAACUCCGGUGGUGUAAGAUGGACCCGCGUCUGAUUAGGUAGUUGGUGGGGUAACGGCCCACCAAGCCGACGAUCAGUAGCCGACCUGAGAGGGUGACCGGCCACAUUGGGACUGAGACACGGCCCAA
rnacentral:rRNA from 1 species